rnacentral:misc_RNA from 1 species
CCACUUGAACGACGUCGUCAUUGCAGUCUUGAGGAAUACCUGCUGCUACUUUUAUAUCCGCUAGUCUUGCUUGAGCUUCUUCUUUGGAAUUGGAGGUCUUGUCCAGAACUCGCUUGGCCUCACCGAGUCUACCCUGGAGGACUAACCAACGAGGUGACUCGGGCAUGGCUAGAACAAUCACAGCAAGGAUAAAUGAAGGGAUUGCACCAAUUCCAAGCAUGAAUCUCCACCCCAAGUGAGUUGGGAGCUUGGAGAAUGCAAAAUUGGAGACGUAGCCAAUCAAAAUCCCAGAGUUGAUAAAAACUUCUGGAAAUGAGGUGAGGAACCCACGAGACGAUGCCGGAGAGACCUCGGCUGUGUACACCGGAGCAAUCACGACGGCAUAGCCCACCCCAAUUCCUGCUAUGAACCGGCCAACCAUAAGGAAGGCAUAGUUGGUGGCG